CUCGCCUCGCCGCUCCGCCCCCAUGAGCGUGCCGUCCUUCACCGCCGCCCUGCGGGUGGAGAUGUCCAGUGGCAUCGCUACGUCGACCACAACGCGGUUGCUGCUGGAGGGAGCCAGACGAGCGAGGCGGGAAUGAGCUGCUGAUGGUCGCCGCCGUGCGCGGGGUGCAGUAAAUGUAAAUUGUUGGCACACGUUCAGUUGCAUAUCGAUGCAAAUCAGUUCUAUGUGAACCUUCUUUACAUGUAUAAGAAGAGCAAUUUAGAAAGGACAGUUAGUUGCUAUGGCCUGUUCUGAUUAGUAUAUUAACCAUGUAGUUUUUGGUAUGUUCAGACUUAAUGUGUAUGUGUGUUAGAGUUCAUCCACCUGUAGUCCUUGUAAUUGGUUUGACACUGUUUAGUUAAACAAAAUUAGCAUGUUGGAUAGCGAACUUGCAAUGAAUGGAUCUUACUGUUUAUGUGUGUAUGCAACUCUACCUGGAUGAAAUCUGUGGUGUUAUGAGUACAA